UAGUAAUCGUAGGUCAGCAUACUACGGUGAAUACGUUCCCGGGCCUUGUACACACCGCCCGUCAAACCAUGAGAGUUGGCAACACCCGAAGUCGGUAGUCUAACCGCAAGGAGGACGCCGCCGAAGGUGGGGUUGAUGAUUAGGGUUAAGUCGUAACAAGGUAAC
rnacentral:rRNA from 1 species